rnacentral:rRNA from 1 species
UACGUAGGGUGCGAGCGUUAAUCGGAAUUACUGGGCGUAAAGCGUGCGCAGGCGGUUUGUUAAGACAGGUGUGAAAGCCCCGGGCUCAACCUGGGAAUUGCAUUCGAGACUGAAUAGCUAGGGUACGGUAGAGGGAAGUGGAAUUCCGGUGUAGCUGGUGAAAUGCGUAGAUAUCGGAAGGAACAUCAGUGGCGAAAGCGACUUCCUGGACCAGUACCGACGUUCAGGCACGAAAGCGUGGG